CAUUGUGUGAGACCCAGCCCUGGCCUCUCCCCUGCACCAUUUCCUGAGCUCAAGAGGCUAAGGGAAAAUGGGAGGGGGGCUAGGAGAGUUAAUCUAAUGGAAAAAGAAGCAACACGAUGAUGGGACCCCCAGUUUGAAUUUCAGACAGUGGAGGAGGGAAUAUUGCUAGGAGGGAGUUGAGGAAGCCUUGUUAAACCUCAUCUCUUUGAGGGACAGAAUAAAAAGUAUUGGCAUCAUAGCAUAGCCAUUUAGAAACAAGUUCUAGGGUGGGUUGGAAAAUCUCCAAGAGCCCUGACCUCAUCUUCCACCUCAGCAACCAUGACCUGAAACCUCAGCGUGAAUUUGGGGGAUUUUUCAGUGGAACCCUUGCCCCCAAAUGUCGACCAGCCCCCAAAUGUCGAAGAAUUUUCUUCUUGCCAAUUUUGUUGUUUAAAAAAAAAAUUCAGGGAAAAUUAAAAACCUGGAACUCC
rnacentral:lncRNA from 1 species